AAGUUGGCCUUUAAUUGAGGUCGAGUAUGAAUGGGUAUACGGAUAAACCCUGUCUUAUUUAGAAUUUUAUAAAUUUUCUAAGAAGGUGAAAAUUCCUUCAUAUAUAUGAAAGACGAGAAGACCCUUAGAGUUUUUAUUAAUAGGAAUUUAUUUUUCGUUACUUUUUUGUUGGGGCGACAUAGAAGCAUAACUAACCUUCUUUAAUAAACUUAUACAAAUGAAUAAUUAUAUAUGACAAAACUACCUGAGGGAUAACAGCAUAAUUUAAAUAUAAGAUUG
rnacentral:rRNA from 1 species